rnacentral:rRNA from 1 species
UACGUAGGGUGCGAGCGUUAAUCGGAAUUACUGGGCGUAAAGCGUGCGCAGGCGGUUUUGUAAGCCAGAUGUGAAAUCCCCGGGCUUAACCUGGGAAUGGCAUUUGGGACUGCAAGGCUUGAGUGCGGCAGAGGAGACUAGAAUUCCUGGUGUAGCAGUGAAAUGCGUAGAUAUCAGGAGGAAUUCCGAUGGCGAAGGCAGGUCUCUGGGCUGACACUGACGCUCAUGCACGAAAGCGUGGGGAGCAAACAGG